rnacentral:rRNA from 1 species
UACGUAGGGGGCUAGCGUUGUCCGGAAUCAUUGGGCGUAAAGCGUGCGUAGGUGGUUCGUUAAGUCUGUCGUGAAAGCCCCGGGCUCAACCUGGGAAUGGCGAUGGAUACUGGCGGGCUAGAGUGCGGUAGAGGGUGGUGGAAUUCCCGGUGUAGCAGUGAAAUGCGUAGAGAUCGGGAGGAACAUCAGUUGCGAAGGCGGCCACCUGGACCAGCACUGACACUGAGGCACGAAAGCGUGGGGAGCAAACAGG